rnacentral:rRNA from 1 species
UACGGAGGGUGCGAGCGUUGUCCGGAAUCACUGGGCGUAAAGGGCGCGUAGGCGGCGCGGGGAGUCAACGGUGAAAGCUCGGCGCUCAACGCCGAGUCGGCCGUCGAUACUCCCCGUGCUCGAGCACUGUAGAGGCAGGUGGAAUUCCGGGUGUAGCGGUGGAAUGCGUAGAGAUCCGGAAGAACACCGGUGGCGAAGGCGGCCUGACUGGGCCAGUAGCUGACGCUGAGGCGCGACAGCGUGGGGAGCAAACAGG